GACAGAGGGUGCAAACGUUGUUCGGAAUCACUGGGCGUAAAGCGCGUGUAGGCGGCUACGUAAGUCGGACGUGAAAUCCCACGGCUCAACUGUGGAAGUGCGCUCGAAACUGUGUAGCUUGAGUCUUGGAGAGGAAGGCGGAAUACUUGGUGUAGAGGUGAAAUUCGUAGAUAUCAGGUAGAACACCAGUGGCGAAGGCGGCCUUCUGGACAAUGACUGACGCUGAGACGCGAAAGCGUGGGGAGCAAACAGG
rnacentral:rRNA from 1 species